rnacentral:rRNA from 1 species
GAAGUAAAAGUCGUAACAAGGUUUCCGUAGGUGAACCUGCGGAAGGAUCAUUACUGAAUGUCGAGGGUUGUAGCUGACACCUUUGGGUGUAUGUGCUCGCCUUCAAUUCAUUUUACCACCUGUGAACCUUUGUAGACUGUGGAUGUUGGUUUCAGCUAGCAAUAGUUGGUUUGAGGUUGCUUAACGGCUUCCUUGCGCGUCCCAGUCUAUGUUUAUCAUAUACUCUGUAUGUUUUGAAUGUCAAUUUAUGGGUCUUGUACCUAUAGAACUUAAUACAACUUUCAACAACGGAUCUCUUGGCUCUCGCAUCGAUGAAGAACGCAGCGAAAUGCGAUAAGUAAUGUGAAUUGCAGAAUUCAGUGAAUCAUCGAAUCUUUGAACGCACCUUGCGCUCCUUGGUAUUCCGAGGAGCAUGCCUGUUUGAGUGUCAUUAAAUUCUCAAACCUUUAUUUGGUUUUACUAGAUAAAGGCUUUGGAUGUGGAGGCUGCUGGAUUCUAACGAAGUCAGCUCUUCUUAAAUGCAUUAGUGGUUAUUGAUCCCAUUUCUUGGUGUGAUAAUAUCUACGCCUUGAGAGAACGAUCUAAUGUAACUGCUUUCUAACCGUCUGCAAAGACAAUUUGAACCAUUUGACCUCAAAUCAGGUAGGACUACCCGCUGAACUUAAGCAUAUCAAUAAGCGGAGGAAAAGAAACUAACAAGGAUUCCCCUAGUAACUGCGAGUGAAGCGGGAAAAGCUCAAAUUUAAAAUCUGGCGGCUUUGUCGUCCGAGUUGUAAUUUAGAGAAGUGUUAUCCGCGCUGGACCGUGUACAAGUCUCCUGGAAUGGAGCGUCAUAGAGGGUGAGAAUCCCGUCUUUGCCACGGACUACCAGGGCUUUGUGAUGCGCUCUCGAAGAGUCGAGUUGUUUGGGAAUGCAGCUCAAAAUGGGUGGUAAAUUCCAUCUAAAGCUAAAUAUUGGCGAGAGACCGAUAGCGAACAAGUACCGUGAGGGAAAGAUGAAAAGAACUUUGGAAAGAGAGUUAAACAGUACGUGAAAUUGUUAA